rnacentral:hammerhead_ribozyme from 1 species
AUCUGGUUGACGAGUCCCAAAUAGGACGAAAUGUGCAUCCUGGAU